AACGAACGCUGGCGGCAUGCCUAACACAUGCAAGUCGAACGAGACCUUCGGGUCUAGUGGCGCACGGGUGCGUAACGCGUGGGAACCUGCCCUUAGGUUCGGAAUAACUCCCCGAAAGGGGUGCUAAUACCGGAUAAUGUCUUCGGACCAAAGAUUUAUCGCCUUUGGAUGGGCCCGCGUUGGAUUAGCUAGUUGGUAGGGUAAAAGCCUACCAAGGCGACGAUCCAUAGCUGGUCUGAGAGGAUGAUCAGCCACACUGGGACUGAGACACGGCCCAGACUCCUACGGGAGGCAGCAGUGGGGAAUAUUGGACAGUGGGCGGAAGCCUGAUCCAGCAAUGCCGCGUGAGUGAUGAAGGCCUUAGGGUUGUAAAGCUCUUUUACCCGGGAUGAUAAUGACAGUACCGGGAGAAUAAGCUCCGGCUAACUCCGUG
rnacentral:rRNA from 1 species